AAAUGCAAAAAAAAAGACAAAAAAAAGAAAGUAUCAUUACAUUCCAAAUUCCUUUUAUCAAGUCCUUCUCUUCUCUUAAAAAGGUAGGACCUGGUUAUCCUGCACGGAGGCCUGUGCUAGAUGGUGUGGGAUGCAGAAGAGGCAGAGGCCUUGCCCACAAAAGUGAAGCCUCCAUCUGGACAGAUGUGUAGUUUGGAGGCCCAUUCCCGCUCCACGACAGGAGGCGUCCUGCCUGCGCAUCAGCCGCUGAUGACACGUGCUUCCUUUUGCUUCCUUCCUCCCCUGGUCACCUCCUUGCACCAGGUCCAUCUCGGACUCUGCCUCAGAGGGAGCCCGGCCUGAGGAAGCUACCGUCUCACCUCGUUCACCGGUGCCUCGGCUUUCUCAUCUCCACUGUGGGUAUGUGCACCCCGGGACCCCACGAACUUUCCACUUGAGAGGGAGGGUCUCCCCCACCCGCUGAGGGGACCCCAGAGGUUUCCUGCCCCUGACAUUUGCUGAUUCCCAGAAAUAGCACCGCGGUCGCUAUUUUGACCGAGGCCAUCCGUAGGAAAAAAACACCAACAGCAGAAAAUGAGAAGAGUCUGGUAAAUAGGAACGAGGCAAAUAGAAAACCCAACCAACAAAAGACAGCCUCGUGGGAGUGAGCCGGCACCUGGAACCUCACCCCCCACGGGAACCGGGUCACCUGCUCUGGCCUGCGGGUGAUGCACUUCCCGCAGACCCGGGAACACGUGUCAUCCUCAGCAGCAGCAGCAAUGCGGUUGCUCCUCGGUGCCUGUCCUUUGGCUCAGGAGGGUCAGUGGGGUCCCCUUUUGCAUCGACAGGGUGCUGGCUGUCCCCAGAGCCUCACCCUGCCCUGGCAGGCACACGGGAAGGGAACAGGGCGCCACCGUUUGCCUGUGACAUGACGGCCUUCAUUGAGAGGCUACCUGCUAAGCCAUCCUUCUGGCCUUGCUGUCACCACCUGCCCCAAAGCCAAACUUCCUGAGGGCGAGACCUCUGCAGAGGGACACCUGGGCACCUGCCAGCACUCUGGCCGGGGACAUGCACCCUCCUCACCACACGGCAGGGCUGGGUGUGAAUCCAGACACAGGACACACCUGCGAUCCUGGUUCGGCUCCAGAUGUGAGGUAACUGCUUCUAACCUGCCCUCAGCCUGACUUCACCACGGGCGCCCAAGUUCAGGGAAGGAAGGAGCUUUGAGGGUGUGAGUUCACGUGGCUGGCCUGGUGAUGCAGAACCAGCUGACAGG
rnacentral:lncRNA from 9 species